rnacentral:rRNA from 1 species
CCUACGGGUGGCAGCAGUGGGGAAUAUUGCACAAUGGGGGAAACCCUGAUGCAGCGACGCCGCGUGAGUGAAGAAGUAAUUCGUUAUGUAAAGCUCUAUCAGCAGGGAAGAAAAUGACGGUACCUGAGUAAGAAGCCCCGGCUAACUACGUGCCAGCAGCCGCGGUAAUCCGUAGGGGGCAAGCGUUAUCCGGAUUUACUGGGUGUAAAGGGAGCGUAGACGGGAGUGCAAGUCUGGAGUGAAAGGCGGGGGCUCAACCCCCGGACUGCUCUGGAAACUGUACGGCUGGAGUGCAGGAGAGGUAAGUGGAAUUCCUAGUGUAGCGGUGAAAUGCGUAGAUAUUAGGAGGAACACCAGUGGCGAAGGCGAGUUACUGGACUGUAACUGACGUUGAGGCUCGAAAGCGUGGGGAGCAAACAGGAUUAGAUACCCUAGUAGUC